AGGGAAUCUUCCGCAAUGGACGAAAGUCUGACGGAGCAACGCCGCGUGAGCGAAGAAGGUCUUCGGAUCGUAAAGCUCUGUUGUUAGGGAAGAACAAGUACCGGAGUAACUGACGGUACCUUGACGGUACCUAACCAGAAAGCCACGGCUAACUACGUGCCAGCAGCCGCGGUAAUACGUAGGUGGCAAGCGUUGUCCGGAAUCAUUGGGCGUAAAGCGCGCGCAGGCGGUCCUUUAAGUCUGAUGUGAAAUCUUGCGGCUCAACCGUAAGCGGUCAUUGGAAACUGGGGGACUUGAGUGCAGGAGAGGAAAGCGGAAUUCCAUGUGUAGCGGUGAAAUGCGUAGAGAUAUGGAGGAACACCAGUGGCGAAGGCGGCUUUCUGGCCUGUAACUGACGCUGAGGCGCGAAAGCGUGGGGAGCAAAC
rnacentral:rRNA from 1 species